UUCAUUUUAUUAUUUUCCCUACUGAUUUUUUUUCUACUCAUCUAUGGGUAAGAUUAUUAAGUUAUCAGCUUUGUUUUCAGAUCUUUAUUCCAUUCUUAUAUUUUAAAUGAUUCCAUUUAUUCUUCAGACUGUUAGGAAAACUGUCACGUGAUGUUAAAUAUUUCACUUCUGAACGACUGUUGUACAUACGUUACUGCAUCCGUACUUAAAGGUUACACUAUUGAUCUCUGUGAACUGUAUACAUGUAAGUACGUCUGUAUUUUGUGACUGGUAAAUAGAGUAUAUAUUUUUAUAAAAGUUAUUAUAUAAAUAUUGAUCCAUAAUCAUUGUAAGGAAGUGUUUCAAUGUGGAUGCCUAAAAUACUUUCCUUUUCCAUUUAACUUUUCUUUUACCUCAAUACCACACGUGCCUGAGUUCACAGUGGUCACUUCAUAAAAAGCCUCACCAAUUGUCAUCACUGCCAACACACCGUAAGUACAACCCUUGUCUUUUUGAAGCCUGGAUUCUGAAACAUUUUGAUCUCUCACUAUUUCUAUUUUCAAAGGCCACUCAGAUGAAUAGCAUGGUUCUAUAAACUAUUUGUCCUGUUCAUAUUGUAGAAACUGUUAAUUUCGUACUAGAACAGUAAAAACAUCCUUGAAAACUUGGUUCGCUCACCACGACUAUUUUCAAAGGCCACAGCAAUUAACAGUUAGUUUCUCAAGACUGAUUCUCCUUUGUACGUGUCACUUCAACUACAGCUUUUGAAAGUAGUCAUGGUUCAGCCAGAGGUUUCAAAACAAACGUGCGUGUUGUGACACUAACCCAACGCUAUGCGCCCCCCCACCCCCAACUUCCCGUCCUCCACUCUAAAAAUUAUAAAAAUCUUUUCACUUUGCUUUCACUGCCGUGGAAUUUGAAUAUGAAGUGGUGAAUGUGUGCAAGCGUAAUCUUGCUUACUGUAUUGUUUUCAGUGAGCUCACGCCAUACCACCACACCACUCGGCACGGGCGUUACACCCUCCCACUUUCCUACACUGCACUGAGGUGGGCGUGUGUGGCGAGGAACGGUGUGUGAAAUGGCUCCAUCAUUGCUCCCGGUACCCCCUGAGAGGAACUGCCAUGCUCCCUUGAAACCUGCGCCGCCCACUUAACACUGAACGCUUCACAGGCUCGCCAUUCGGAUCCGACUCGUCUGUUAUUUCCUUGGUGUCCACUUGCUCCUCUCUGACUUGCCUUGCGUCUCCAACUUAUCACCUCUUCCUGCUUCACGAGCCACCGCCGCCAUCAGGCAUUGUGUGGAGGGAGUUCUAUACGAUACUUUCAACCUGGAAGAAAAAAUGUGGUAAUAAAUGCAUAAAUCGGUUGUAUACAGUGCUGAAUAAAUGUAAUCAGUCGU